ACCAUAUGACAAGUUUCUGGGCUUUCUUUUUGUCUGUCAGCAUGGAUGCAGGCGAGGUCUGUAGCUGGAGACUGAUAAUCAGGUGUUGAUUCAAACCAAGAAACAUAUCCAGAAAAUCUUGCUUUCCCUGGCUACUGGACUAGCCAAAGAGAAGUCCAGCAAGACCUGCAGGAGAAAUGAAGCCUUGGCCACUCCAGACCCUACCCAAAGCCUGGACCAGUGGGUGACCCUAUCUGCCAUCAUGGCAGCCCCAGUGAAGCCCUGAGUCAGUGUGGGACUGAAAAAAUAUCAGAAGAGAUCAGGUCUGGGGGAAGCUGGCCACAAUAUUUUAAGGACAUUGCAGCAGCCCCUGCACCCCCUGCUGGAGAGACCUUCAUGGGAAGAAUGGAAACCUCCUGCUAACCACCAGCAUGAGCCAUGUUGGAAGUGAAUCCUCCUGACCCAGUGAGAUGAACCUUGAUUGAUGUUGUUUCUCAGUUUUGAAGUCUAAAAUAAAAUAGAAAUGGCCCAAAGGAAA
ensembl:lncRNA